UACAGAGGUCUCAAGCGUUGUUCGGAUUCAUUGGGCGUAAAGGGUGCGUAGGCGGCGAGGUAAGUCGGAUGUGAAAUCCCGGGGCUCAACCCCGGAACUGCAUUCGAUACUGCCUUGCUCGAGUACUGGAGAGGAGACUGGAAUUUACGGUGUAGCAGUGAAAUGCGUAGAUAUCGUAAGGAAGACCAGUGGCGAAGGCGGGUCUCUGGACAGUUCCUGACGCUGAGGCACGAAGGUCAGGGGAGCAAACGGG
rnacentral:rRNA from 1 species